GCUUCCUUAGUUAAAUGGAUAUAAUGUUCCCCUCCGACGGGAAGGUUGUCGGUUCGAUUCCGGCAGGAAGUGCCA
rnacentral:tRNA from 1 species